AACGAUAUAGUUUAAGUUGUGAGAUGUUUGCUCUGCGAGCAUUCGGUAGAGGUUUCUUGUCGUUA
rnacentral:tRNA from 1 species